AACGAACGCUGGCGGCAUGCCUAACACAUGCAAGUCGAACGAGACCUUCGGGUCUAGUGGCGCCCGGGUGCUUAACGCGUGGGAACCUGCCCUUAGGUUCGGAAUACCUCCCCGAAAGGGGUGCUAAUACCGGAUAAUGUCUUCGGACCAAAGAUUUAUCGCCUUUGGUUGGGCCCGCGUUGGAUUAGCUAGUUGGUAGGGUAAAAGCCUACCAAGGCGACGAUCCAUAGCUGGUCUGAGAGGAUGAUCAGCAACACUGGGACUGAGACACGGCCCAGACUCCUACGGGAGGCAGCAGUGGGGAAUAUUGGACAAUGGGCGAAAGCCUGAUCCAGCAAUGCCGCGUGAGUGAUGAAGGCCUUAGGGUUGUAAAGCUCUUUUACCCGGGAUGAUAAUGACAGUACCGGGAGAAUAAGCUCCGGCUAACUCCGUG
rnacentral:rRNA from 1 species